rnacentral:rRNA from 1 species
AUGCGGGCUUCGUCGGCUGGCUGCGCCGGAUCUCCCGUCCCGCGCCAAUCGCCGCUUGCCACCUGGCAGGUUCCAGGUGGCCCAGGAGGUGCGCGGUACGCCACCCAACCUGUGACGUACAAGCGGCGCGACAGCACGCGGUCCAGGGAGGGCGUGGUACUGGGCGCCGGUCCGACCGGCGUGGAAACCCGAGUGGAUGCGCCAUCAUCACGCGAUGAUGAGCCGCACGCCCGCACUCUAGGAUCCUCUGCGGCUACUCCAGCCGCCCUGCAUCACGCUUCAGCCGUAGAAAAUCCGAUGCUGCUGGGUGGCGCUACUGGAUCAGGAUCCUGCUCGGACUCCGGUGUUGCAAAUGAUUUGAGCGCUGCUGGAUCUUCUGUGGCAACAGAGAUGAUUGCUCAGCAGCCACGUCGCACAGGUCUGCAACAAGGGGUAAUUCAACCUGUCAACUACAAGCAUAUAACCAAGUAUGGUAUGGUUUGUUCCACAGGUGAACCAGAUGAACCUAACACUCUUGAAGCAGCAUUGUGUGAUGAGAGGUGGAAGAAAGCUAUGAAUGAAGAGUACAUGGCAUUGAAGAGAAACAAAACAUGGCACUUGGUUCCCCCACAACAAGGUAAAAAUUUGAUUGAUUGCAAGUGGGUUUUCAGGAUUAAAAGAAAAGCUGAUGGAACCAUUGAUCGUUAUAAGGCUAGGCUGGUAGCAAAAGGUUUUAAAUAG